CACGCUGUAAACGAUGGAUACUAGGUGUAGGGGGUAUAGACUCCCUCUGUGCCGGAGCAAACGCAAUAAGUAUCCCGCCUGGGGAGUACGGCCGCAAGGUUGAAACUCAAAGGAAUUGACGGGGGCCCGCACAAGCAGCGGAGCAUGUGGUUUAAUUCGAAGCAACGCGAAGAACCUUACCAGGGCUUGACAUCCCUCGCGAGGUAUUGAAAGGUACCGUUCCCUUCGGGGACGAGGAGACAGGUGG
rnacentral:rRNA from 1 species